UUAGGAAUUUUGCGCAAUGGGCGAAAGCCUGACGCAGCAACGCCGCGUGAGUGAUGAAGGCCUUCGGGUUGUAAAGCUCUUUUAGCAGGGGCGAAAAAAAUGACGGUACCUGCAGAAAAAGCACCGGCUAACUCUGUGCCAGCAGCCGCGGUAAUACAGAGGGUGCAAGCGUUAUUCGGAGUUAUUGGGCGUAAAGAGCGCGUAGGCGGCUCGGUAAGUUUGGUGUGAAAUCCCUGGACUCAAUCCAGGAAGUGCAUUGAAUACUGUCGAGCUAGAGUGCAGGAGAGGUGAGCGGAAUUCCUGGUGUAGAGGUGAAAUUCGUAGAUAUCAGGAGGAACAACAGAGGCGAAGGCGGCUCACUGGACUGAUACUGACGCUGAGGCGCGAAAGCGUGGGGAGCAAACAGG
rnacentral:rRNA from 1 species